rnacentral:rRNA from 1 species
UACGUAGGUGGCAAGCGUUGUCCGGAUUUACUGGGCGUAAAGAGCGCGCAGGCGGUCGUCCAAGUCGCGUGUGAAAGCCCCCGGCUCAACUGGGGAGGGUCACGCGAUACUGGUCGACUCGAAGGCAGGAGAGGGUAGUGGAAUUCCCGGUGUAGUGGUGAAAUGCGUAGAUAUCGGGAGGAACACCAGUGGCUAAGGCGGCUCUCUAGUACGGUACUGACGCUGAGACGCGAAAGCGUGGGGAGCGAACAGG